rnacentral:rRNA from 1 species
CGGGCAGGUGGUCUGUUAAGUCGUUUGUGAAAAUCCGGGGCUCAACCCCGCGAAAUGCAAGCGAUACUGGCAGACUAGAGAUCGGUAGAGGCUAGCGGAAUUCCUGGUGUAGCGGUGGAAUGCGUAGAUAUCAGGAAGAACACCUGUGGCGAAGGCGGCUAGCUGGGCCGAGUCUGACACUCAUCCGCGAAAGCGUGGGGAGCAAACAGGAUUAGAUACCCUGGUAGUCC